rnacentral:tRNA from 1 species
CAAGGCAUAGCUUAAGUAAAGCAUCUAGUUUACACCUAGAAGAUUUCAUAUAAAAUGACUACCUUGA